GAAGAAUAUAAGAAGAAAGUAUACCAAUUACCGAAACUGCUGCUAACACCAAGCCAGGUAAACGUGAAUCAACCCGAUGUCCCUGCAAAAGAGCCUAUAAAAUGGUCAUGAAAAGAUAACAUCGUCCACAUUGAGGCUGUUAUACCGUACACAAUCAUCCCAGAAUAUCGCCGUCCAAGAAUAUCUGCAAGCCACGCUCCCACUACAUUUCCAGGCAUUUCAACAGCUGCUUGCAAAGCGAAUUCUAAAAAUGGGUUUCCAUCUGUUUUCUCUCCUGCACUUAUUAGUAGUACUCUGUAGCUUAGAGUUACAAACACCCUGUAAAUAAAAAGACUAGACCCCAUAAUCGAAGAUCUUCGAUCAUAUUACAUGGAGUCGGAGAUCAAACUUACAAGCAUAGUGGAUGGUUUUUUAUACUAAAUUUGCCAAGACCCUUACCAUAACAGUAGUUGUAAAAUAGUACUAACUGCUAAUGUUCUACUAGAAAAUAAUGCUACAGGUCCAGGCAUUUUAUCAUUUCUUUCUAUAUUUGUAUUUGAUAAUUCCUCUGCUGUAUUUGUUUCUAAUUCUGAUUUAUUUAUUUUUGCUAUUUGUCUUAAGUUUCUAAUACAUUCUUCGGAUUUUCCUGUCUGCCAAAGCCAUCUUGGAGAUUCGAUUGUAUUCCUGUUAAUUAGUUUAAAUAAUACAAUUUAUUAUAAGUAUACAGUAUAGAAUCUUUAUUACUCUCUUAAAGAUUAUACAAUAGCGCCUUACCAUGAAAAUAAUAAAUACGGUAUUAAUGGAACAGUAGUUAUAACAAAAAACAGUUUCCAUUCUCUAAUCCACCAAUAUAAGAGCGACAUGACACAUACACCAAAACUCAUAGCAGCGACUCGCAACGUGGCCGUUGUGGUUCUUCGCUCUGGUGAAGAUAUUUCUACAGAUAUGACUGACACGCUUUGGACGGCAGACCAAGAAGGAAAGGACGCUAUGAUACAUCCACAAGUAAAUAAUACAUAUGACUGGGCAGCGAGAAUAGAUACUGUGCGCCCAACCACAAUUAGUGCUAAUGCUAUAAUGUACGUCAAUCGUCUUCCGUAUCUGAAAAACAAAGUUAUGUUCCAAACAGUAAAAUUAUUUAUAAAAUUAUAAAUUAAUUAUAAUUAUUUAAAUAGUUACGUACGUAUCACCAAACCAUCCGAAUAAUAAAGAUCCAAUUAUCUCACCAAUCAUACUGUAUGCGAAUAUAUUUACCACAUACAAUUCCUUACUGCAAACCCAAUUAUUUUCAGAUGGAACAGUAGAUUCAUACCAGGUUUUAUCGUAUACAAAUUCUACACAUUCUGAAACCAAACAAUAGACUCAGUGAAACUGUCUAACUUGUUAUUUAAUACCUACAGUAUUAACAUUUCGAUUACCUACCUUUAGUCUUAUUAUUUUGUUCGGGAUUUUCAUAAACCAUACAACUAUUUAAUAAAGCUUGACCGUUCAAAUCGUUUGACCUGUAAUCAUAUACAGGUAGUAAUUAGUUCAAUUGCCACGUUAAAUUAAUUGCAGUUAGGUGAAAAUAUAGGUGUAGUAGGCUGAGCUGUAGGCCAUCUAUGGGGUCCACGGGUGGCGGAUAGUGAAACGGCCACCAGAUAUGAUGGUUAGCUGUGAAUUUAAAAAUAAGCAGUCCCCGACCAAACAGCGACAGGAUUAGCAGAACGUAGUGGGUAGCUCACUGGGACGGGCUAACCUAUAAAAUGCUACUUAGGUUCUAUGACGAUCUUGUGACGUAGCGAGUAGGCGCCGCUACUUCAAAAGCGCACCCCUAAUGCCGGGCACCACCGGUAUCAGUACUGGUUGGAGGCCGAGGAAAUGGAUUCUGAUAGGGCUCUGGCUAGAACAUCACCGAUUGGGUCAACCACCGUUCUACACGCCCUAUCUAUGGAGUAAUGACGAUUACCCCACCGACAAGAGCGCAGCUCUUAAAUAAAAAGAGAGAGAGAGGUGAAAAUAUGUAAUUAUUUAUCUUCGGCUCGGCAAUAUACGACUCUUGGACUUCCCCAUCCCUUUUCUCAAAUAAAUUGAUGUAGAAACAUCUUAUACUAUUACUUAUGGUCUGGGAACUUACAUUGGAAUAUACUUUGAUCUCCAUAAAUUGUCACUGAUGUUUUCUGUUUGUUCAGGAAGCUUACAAGUGUGCGGAGGAAUCACUAAUGCAAGGAAUAUGCUCAUAUAUGACGUGCACCACAACCCGGCAAAAAUCACAUUAUAAAUAAUAUCCCACUUCUUUUGAAAUAAGCUAUUUGGUCCCACUUCUAACAGAGCACGUUCAUAUAUAGAUUCCAUGUUACAAA